UUCAGAACAGCCAGGUUUCUACUUAGAGGAAACUCAGCCUAAGGUCUGAGUGAGUGCCUCUGCUUCGGCCAGAAGUCUGUACCCUCCCUGGACUGCACAAACGCUGACGUGGCCUUGGAGUUUUCAGUCAAAGAAAUCUUGGCAUUUUCUGAGUCUACAAUGUAAAAUCUGGAAACAUCAAACCUGGAAUCGAUGGGAGCGGAAAAUCAAUACAGCACGCUGGAGGGGAAGAUGGAGAGUUAAAACGUCUCUUUACACGGAAAGCACUGGACAUCUGUAUUCAUGAACACCCAAUGAAACACUCAAAGUCCCACCACUAGAGAAGCGGCUUGCUUGAGUAAGAUCAUUCUGGGAAGACUGAUUGAUUGACUUUACAAAGGGACCAUCUACAAAGAGAGACUCCCUUGUAGAGAGUGUAAAGGAAACACAAGAGGAUCUGGUAACCACUCCAGAAGUAACUCCAUCAAGUUUGAACAGAACUUCCCAGUUUUAAUUCUUGAAUUCCCAGGUGCUGGGCGGAUAAGAUCUCCCUCCAUUUCUUGCAAACUAGGUAGUUUCUCAUCCUCCCUUAGGCGAAGGUAGGGAGGAAGGGAGUGGUUAUGAAAACCUAAAGAGAAAUACAGAACCAGUGAAGAAAAUGAUGAUACUCAGACAAGGUCAUGUUCUACCCAAAGUGACUUCACAGGACCUUGUCAAGUAAAAAGAAACCCUCACCCACUCCUCUCCUUCCUUCUAAAGGCCUGCCAAGGUUUGGCAUUGAGCUCCUCAUGAGACAAAGCCAACCACAAGCCUGGUCCACAGAGCAUUGAAAAAGAUACAGAAUAGCUGAAUGCUGGUGGCUCAUGGCUGCAAUCCUAACUACUCUGGAAGCUAAGAUCUCAGGAUCGCAGC